GGGACCCCAGGUCAGGC
rnacentral:rRNA from 1 species